rfam:Sorghum bicolor cultivar BTx623 chromosome 9, whole genome shotgun sequence.
AUUCCAUGAUGUGGACACUCUUGAAUGUACUCCUGCAGACGUUCCCAUGCUUCGGGAAUAGUCUCGUCUGCCUUCUGUUGGAAGCUUGAAAUCUUUGCCCUCAGAGC